UACGUAGGGACCAAGCGUUGUUCGGAUUUAUUGGGCGUAAAGGGCGCGUAGGCGGCUUUUCAAGUGGCGGGUGAAAUCCCUCGGCUUAACCGAGGAACUGCCUGCCAGACUGGAAGGCUUGAGACCGGGAGAGGUGAGUGGAAUUCCCAGUGUAGCGGUGAAAUGCGUAGAUAUCAGGAGGAAUACCGAUGGCGAAGGCAGGUCUCUGGGCUGACACUGACGCUCAUGCACGAAAGCGUGGGGAGCAAACAGG
rnacentral:rRNA from 1 species